AGCGAACGCUGGCGGCAGGCUUAACACAUGCAAGUCGAGCGGGCGUAGCAAUACGUCAGCGGCAGACGGGUGAGUAACACGUGGGAACGUACCUCUUGGUUCGGAACAACACAGGGAAACUUGUGCUAAUACCGAAUAAGCCCUUACGGGGAAAGAUUUAUCGCCGAAAGAUCGGCCCGCGUCUGAUUAGCUUGUUGGUGAGGUAACGGCUCACCAAGGCGACGAUCAGUAGCUGGCUGAGAGGAUGAUCAGCCACACUGGGACUGAGACACGGCCCAGACUCCUACGGGAGGCAGCAGUGGGGAAUAUUGGACAAUGGGGCAACCCUGAUCCAGCCAUGCCGCGUGAGUGAUGAAGGCCCUAGGGUUGUAAAGCCCUUUUGUGCGGGAA
rnacentral:rRNA from 1 species